rnacentral:rRNA from 1 species
AACGAACGCUGGCGGCAUGCCUAACACAUGCAAGUCGAACGAGACCUUCGGGUCUAGUGGCGCACGGGUGCGUAACGCGUGGGAACCUGCCCUUAGGUUCGGAAUAACUCCCCGAAAGGGGUGCUAAUACCGGAUAAUGUCUUCGGACCAAAGAUUUAUCGCCUUUGGAUGGGCCCGCGUUGGAUUAGCUAGUUGGUAGGGUAAAAGCCUACCAAGGCGACGAUCCAUAGCUGGUCUGAGAGGAUGAUCAGCCACACUGGGACUGAGACACGGCCCAGACUCCUACGGGAGGCAGCAGUGGGGAAUAUUGGACAAUGGGCGAAAGCCUGAUCCAGCACUGCCGCGUGAGUGAUGAAGGCCUUAGGGUUGUAAAGCUCUUUUACACGGGAUGAUAAUGACAGUACCGGGAGAAUAAGCGCCGGCUAACUCCGUG